GGGGGGGGGGGGGGGGGGGGGGGGGGGGGGGGGGGGGGGGGGGGGGGGGGGGGGGGGGGGGGGGGGGGGGGGGGGGGGGGGGGGGGGGGGCCCUGUCCCUGUCCCUCUGUCCCCCUGUCCCCUCCCUGACCCGCCCUGCUCUCCCGCAGCUCUCCAUGAAGGCGGUGGGUGACGGGCUGACCCAGCAGAUGAACUCCAUGAUGGGCGCCCUGCAGGAGCUGAAGCUGCUGCAGCUGCAGACGGCGCUGGAGCAGCUGGAGCUGUCGGGGCAGCCGGGCGGGGGACACACGGACAGACACACGGACUGGGGACACACGGACUGGGGACACACAGCCCCGGAGCCGGGCGGGGGACACACGGACAGAUACACGGACAGGGGACACAUGGACUGGGGACACACGGACACGGGACACACAGCCCCGGAGCCGGGCAGGGGACACACGGACAGGGGACACAUGGACUGGGGACACACGGACUGGGGACACACGGACACGGGACACACAGCCCCGGAGCCGGGCAGGGGACACACGGACAGGGGACACAUGGACUGGGGACACACGGACUGGGGACACACGGACACGGGACACACAGCCCCGGAGCCGGGCAGGGGACACACGGACAGGGGACACAUGGACUGGGGACACACGGACUGGGGACACACGGACACGGGACACACAGCCCCGGAGCCGGGCAGGGGACACACGGACAGGGGACACAUGGACUGGGGACACACGGACUGGGGACACACGGACACGGGACACACAGCCCCGGAGCCGGGCAGGGGACACACGGACAGGGGACACAUGGACUGGGGACACACGGACUGGGGACACACGGACACGGGACACACAGCCCCGGAGCCGGGCAGGGGACACACGGACAGGGGACACAUGGACUGGGGACACACGGACUGGGGACACACGGACACGGGACACACAGCCCCGGAGCCGGGCAGGGGACACACGGACAGGGGACACAUGGACUGGGGACACACGGACUGGGGACACACGGACACGGGACACACAGCCCCGGAGCCGGGCAGGGGACACACGGACAGGGGACACAUGGACUGGGGACACACGGACUGGGGACACACGGACACGGGACACACAGCCCCGGAGCCGGGCAGGGGACAUACGGACAGGGCACACACGGACAGACACACGGACAGGGCACACACGGGCAGAGGACACACGGACAGGGCACACACGGCCCCAGAGCCGGACUGGGGACACACAGACAGGGCACACACGGACAGAGGACACACAGACAGGGGACACACGGACAGGGGACACACGGACACGGGACACAUGGACAUGGGACACACGGACACACAGACAUGGGACGGACAGACACGGGACACACGGACACGGGACACACGGACACACAGACAUGGGACAGACAGACACGGGACACACGGACACAUGGACAUGGGACACACGGACACACAGACAUGAGACGGACAGACACGGGACACACGGACACGGGUCCCUGCCCACCCAAACGUGUCUGGGAUCUCACGAAAGCAGCGUUGCACCAGAAGUGAGGCGCCCCCGCCCCAAGGAAGGAGGAGUUUUUG
rnacentral:lncRNA from 12 species